rnacentral:lncRNA from 1 species
AUUCUAAAUUAAGAUAAUAAAUAUAUAUUUUAUAAAAAUUACAAAAUUAAUAAUAAUUAACUCUUUACUUUACUAUUUUAUUAAAAUUUUCACUUAAAAAGAUUCAAAUUUUUUAUUUCUAUUCUCGCAAUAGCAAUAAAUACAAAAUAAUAGACCCUCUAGCACUUCGUCUCCUUCAAAAUCACAUUUUUCUGCCGUUGCCAGACAGUCCAUAACGCAUUAAGAGUUUAAGACAUUUAUUAAUGCAUUUCUCCCUCUUUCUCGAAUUAAAUAUAUAGUAUUUCCAACACUUCUUGACACAUUGAUAAAGCUGAGCCGAAUUUGAAGGUUUUUCUGAAACAACAUCUUGAAAUUCAGCGACGAUAGAAAAAAUAAAAAAUCCAACCAUCAAUAAUGUAAGAGUUGAACAAUUCCUGUCCAUGGCCCCCUAGUCUAUUUUGUGUUGCAAUUAGAAGUUUACAAAAGACUAGGGUUU